GUGGGGAAUCUUGCGCAAUGGGCGAAAGCCUGACGCAGCAACGCCGCGUGCGGGAUGAAGGCCUUCGGGUUGUAAACCGCUUUCAGCAGGGACGAAAAUGACGGUACCUGCAGAAGAAGCUCCGGCUAACUACGUGCCAGCAGCCGCGGUAAUACGUAGGGAGCAAGCGUUGUCCGGAUUUAUUGGGCGUAAAGAGGUCGUAGGCGGUUUCGUAAGUCGAGUGUGAAAAAUCUGGGCUUAACCCAGUGGAGCACUCGAUACUGCGAUGACUUGAGUCUGGUAGAGGAGUGUGGAAUUCCUGAUGUAGCGGUGAAAUGCGCAGAUAUCAGGAGGAACACCAACGGCGAAGGCAGCACUCUGGGCCAGUACUGACGCUGAGGAGCGAAAGCGUGGGGAGCAAACAGGAUUAGAAACCCGAGUAGUCC
rnacentral:rRNA from 1 species